rnacentral:piRNA from 1 species
GAUGGGAACCCUCUGACAGAUGACG